AGAGUUUGAUCCUGGCUCAGGAUGAACGCUAGCGGCAGGCCUAACACAUGCAAGUCGAGGGGUAACGAUGGAGCUUGCUCCAGGCGACGACCGGCGCACGGGUGAGUAUCGCGUUUGUAACCUACCUUUAACUGGAGAAUAGCCCGAAGAAAUUCGGAUUAAUACUCCAUAACACUAUGAUCUGGCAUCUUAUUAUAGUUAAAGCUCCGGCGGUUAAAGAUGGGCAUGCGUUCUAUUAGUUAGUUGGUGAGGUCACGGCUCACCAAGACCACGAUAGGUAGGGGGUCUGAGAGGACUAUCCCCCACACUGGUACUGAGACACGGACCAGACUCCUACGGGAGGCAGCAGUGAGGAAUAUUGCGCAAUGGACGAAAGUCUGACGCAGCCAUGCCGCGUGCAGGAUGACAGCGCUAUGCGUUGUAAACUUCUUUUAUACAGGAAGAAACCCCCGAACGUGUUCGGGGCUGACGGUACUGUAAGAAUAAGGACCGGCUAACUCCGUGCCAGCAGCCGCGGUAAUACGGAGGAUCCAAGCGUUAUCCGGAUUUAUUGGGUUUAAAGGGUUCGUAGGCGGGGCAUUAAGUCAGUGGUGAAAUCCUGCAGCUUAACUGUAGAACUGCCAUUGAUACUGUCAUCCUUGAAUAUAGUUGAGGUAGGCGGAAUGUAUAAUGUAGCGGUGAAAUGCUUAGAUAUUAUACAGAACACCGAUUGCGUAGGCAGCUUACUAAGCUAUUAUUGACGCUGAGGCACGAAAGCGUGGGGAGCGAACAGGAUUAGAUACCCUGGUAGUCCACGCCGUAAACGAUGAUUACUCGUUGUUGGCAAUACAUCGUCAGCGACUGAGCGAAAGCAUUAAGUAAUCCACCUGGGGAGUACGAUCGCAAGAUUGAAACUCAAAGGAAUUGACGGGGGCCCGCACAAGCGGUGGAGCAUGUGGUUUAAUUCGAUAAUACGCGAGGAACCUUACCAGGGCUUAAAUGCAGAACGACAGAUUUGGAAACAAGUCCUUCUUCGGACGGACUGCAAGGUGCUGCAUGGUUGUCGUCAGCUCGUGCCGUGAGGUGUCAGGUUAAGUCCUAUAACGAGCGCAACCCUCAUCAUUAGUUGCCAGCGAGUAAUGUCGGGGACUCUAAUGAAACUUCCGGUGUAAACCGAGAGGAAGGUGGGGAUGACGUCAAGUCAGCACGGCCCUUAUGUCCAGGGCUACACACGUGUUACAAUGGUCGGUACAAAGGGCAGCUACCUGGUGACAGGAUGCUAAUCUCUAAAACCGAUCUCAGUUCGGAUCGAAGUCUGCAACUCGACUUCGUGAAGCUGGAUUCGCUAGUAAUCGCGCAUCAGCCAUGGCGCGGUGAAUACGUUCCCGGGCCUUGUACACACCGCCCGUCAAGCCAUGGAAGCUGGGGGUACCUGAAGUUCGUAACCGCAAGGAGCGACCUAGGGUAAAACUGGUAACUGGGGCUAAGUCGUAACAAGGUAGCC
rnacentral:rRNA from 1 species